GGUUAAUUCGACGCAACGCGAAGAACCUUACCAGGGCUUGACAUCCCCUGACCGCGUAUGAAGUACGUUUCACCUCGGGUGACAGGGAGACAGGUGGUGCAUGGUUGUCGUCAGCUCGUGUCGUGAGAUGUUGGGUUAAGUCCCGCGACGAGCGCAACCCCUGUGGUUAGUUGCCAGCAAGUAGCGUUGGGCACUCUAGCCAGACUGCCGGUGAUAAAUCGGAGGAAGGUGGGGACGACGUCAAAUCAUCAUGCCCUUUAUGUCCUGGGCUACACACGUACUACAAUGGCCGUUACAACGGGAAGCGAAGGAGCAAUCCGGAGCAAAUCCCUUAAAGGCGGUCCCAGUUCAGAUUGUGGGCUGAAACUCGCCCACAUGAAGGCGGAAUUGCUAGUAAUUGCAGAUCAGCAUGCUGCAGUGAAUACGUUCCCGGGCCUU
rnacentral:rRNA from 1 species